rnacentral:rRNA from 1 species
AACGGCCGCAGUACCCUAACCGCGCAAAGGUAGCAUAAUCACUUGCCCUCUAAAUAAGGACUAGUAUCAACGGCAUCACGAGGGUUCUACUGUCUCCUUUUUCUAAUCAGUGAAACUGAUCUCCCCGUGAAGAAGCGGGAAUAGAUCUAUAAGACGAGAAGACCCCAUGGAGCUUCAAACCAGCUUCAACCCCUCCCCCCCC